UACGAAGGGGGGCAAGCGUUGUUCGGAAUUACUGGGCGUAAAGGGCGCGUAGGCGGCUUACCAAGUCAGGCGUGAAAUUCCCGGGCUCAACCUGGGGGCUGCGCUUGAUACUGGUGAGCUUGAAUGCGGGAGAGGAUAGUGGAAUUCCCAGUGUAGAGGUGAAAAUUCGUAGAUAUUGGGAAGAACACCGGUGGCGAAGGCGGCUAUCUGGCCCGUAAUUGACGCUGAGGCGCGAAAGCGUGGGGAGCAAACAGG
rnacentral:rRNA from 1 species